GACGGGGGCCCGCACAAGCGGUGGAGCAUGUGGUUUAAUUCGAUGCAACGCGAAGAACCUUACCUGGUCUUGACAUCCACAGAAGUUUCCAGAGAUGGGAAUGUGCCUUCGGGAACUGUGAGACAGGUGCUGCAUGGCUGUCGUCAGCUCGUGUUGUGAAAUGUUGGGUUAAGUCCCGCAACGAGCGCAACCCUUAUCCUUUGUUGCCAGCGGUCCGGCCGGGAACUCAAAGGAGACUGCCAGUGAUAAACUGGAGGAAGGUGGGGAUGACGUCAAGUCAUCAUGGCCCUUACGACCAGGGCUACACACGUGCUACAAUGGCGCAUACAAAGAGAAGCGACCUCGCGAGAGCAAGCGGACCUCAUAAAGUGCGUCGUAGUCCGGAUUGGAGUCUGCAACUCGACUCCAUGAA
rnacentral:rRNA from 1 species